rnacentral:tRNA from 1 species
GCCCGCGUAGCUUAACCUUAAAGCAUGACAUUGAAGAUGUUAAAAUGGGCCAUAAAAAGCCCCGAAGGCA